rnacentral:rRNA from 1 species
AAACGACUCUCGGCAACGGAUAUCUCGGCUCUUGCAUCGAUGAAGAACGUAGCGAAAUGCGAUACUUGGUGUGAAUUGCAGAAUCCCGUGAACCAUCGAGUCUUUGAACGCAAGUUGCGCCCGAAGCCAUUAGGCUAAGGGCACGCCUGCCUGGGUGUCACCAAUCGUUGCCCCAACCCCUGUGCCCGUGGGCACGGGCUGGGGCGAAUGUUGGCUUCCCGCGAGCACCGCCUCGCGGUUGGUUGAAAAUCGGGCUCGUGGUGGAUUCAGCGCCAUGACAGAUGGUGGUUGAGUAUGUUCUCGAGGCCAGUCAUGCCCGCGACCUCCACCAGUUCCGCGCCCAGUGACCCGCGAGCGACGUCGAUCGCCCAUGACGCGACCUCAGGUCAGGCGGGGCUAC